CCGAGCUCUCCAGACAGAGCAGCAGGUCCGAAACGCUCAGCGGCUCUCUGGACAUCCUGCAACAGGAGGUUCUGGUCGGGGAGGAGGUUCUGGUCAGAUUCAGGAGGUUCUGGUCGGGUUGAGGAGGUUCUGGUCGGGUUGAGCAGGUUCUGGUCGGGUUCUGGUCGGGUUGAGCAGGUUCUGGUCGGGUUGAGCAGGUUCUGGUCGGGUUGAGCAGGUUCUGGUCAGAUUCAGGAGGUUCUGGUCGGGUUGAGGAGGUUCUGGUCGGGUUGAGGAGGUUCUGGUCAGAUUCAGGAGGUUCUGGUCGGGUUGAGCAGGUUCUGGUCAGAUUCAGGAGGUUCUGGUCGGGUUGAGCAGGUUCUGGUCAGAUUCAGGAGGUUCUGGUCGGGUCCAGAACCAGCUGGAAACUCACUGCUGUUCAAUUCAACGAUAUAAUAGAAUAAAACCAAUAAAUAGUUUUUGUUUCCAGAACUUUCUCAGUUUAUUCUGUCUGUCAUGUUUUACAGUGAACCUCGUGACCUUUGCCCUUUAAAGGGCUACUUUUCCAUAUAAACUACAACUGACAGUCGCUGUGACUAAAAUGGCAGAAUAUCAAGAAUUGUUUUCUGAAAGUUUCAUGAUUAUUUUCUAAAAAAUGUUUGAAAUGAAGGAUUAAAAGAAAGAUUUCAGAUCCAAACGGUUUCAGAACAGAGCCCAGAACCUGAUCCUUUAACUGUGUGGACCUGACUGAAGUCAUGGUAAUAAAUACCAGCCUAUUUAAAGGCUCCACAUGACCUCCAGGAUAAACCCAGAGGUCACAUUUCCACUUCCGGGUCACAGCGAGGGAACAUUCACUGCUUAUUUAAACUAAAUCCGUUAAACUUCAUUUAUGUGACAAAUUCAACUCAUUUCUUCCAAUUAAUCAGUUAAAAGAACAGAAGCAAACUUCCGAGUGGCCUCUGACGUCAGCGCCGUUAUUUAUACUGUGUGACGUCACUCAGCGGCUUAAAAACACCUGGAAGCUAAGAGCUAAGCUAACAGGCUCGGAGCAGGCUGCCGGCGGAGCGAACAGAACCGUAUUGCGGUCCGGCAGCGGCCGCGUGCCGCCUGGUGAGCAGCGAUCAGAACCGGUUCCGGACCGGACGAACCCCCCAAAGCCCGGUUUAGAAGCUUCGGUACC